CACAAAACCAACGAACCCUAAAAAGCUUAACCCCGAAUGCUUCCAGCGAUUUCCAGCGAUUCCUGGCCAUUUUUGGCUAAGUUUCAGACUCUCUUUUGCUUUUCCAGUCAUUGCCUGUGUAUUUCAGGCGAACGAAUUCAAUUGCCUUUGUCUUACUUUAAAUUCAAAUGGUAAUCUCUGAUUUUUUUUUUCUUUUGAUGUUUCGCUCCUUUGCCAACCAAAAGAUUCGAAUCUUUUAAAAAAAAAUGCGGACUUCAAAACUUAACUGAACGAAUUCCACUUUGAGGGAGUCUCACAUCGUUCAGGUGGAGCCCAAAAAUCAGUUUUGGGGUUCUAUUUAUAGAACCCCCAUUUCGCAUCUCAGGGAGAGGUUUUUGGGAGACCACAAAAUUGGUUUUAGACAACCACAAACGUUUUUUACACCUCAAAUAAGUUUUACACAUCCCAAGUUCCAUAACAUCCGAUUACUUGGUUCAAAAAUAAGAAAUUUCUCUUGUAAGCUGAGUUCUUGAAUCAUCGAAACAAGGUUAAUAAUUUUAAGUUCGUUUUGAGUUAGUUUGUUGAGUCGGUGAAAGGUAAAAGAUGAUCGUCAACACUCGCCGCCCCUAUCGCUGCUCGGCAAAAAGAGUUGCUACUGAUAAGACAAUUGCUACGCCAUUACUACAAAUCGUUGCCUUUUUUUAAGGCAAACUGUUGCUAUAAAUAGCUGCUACAUUUGAGACACACUUAGUGAGUUUGAUGCCAUAUUUUAAGGCAAAACAGUCAUUGCACUUGAGGUAAAAAUCUCUAUAAUUUGAUGGGGUUGGCUGCUUAAUUCUGAUGCCUAUUUUGGGCUAAAAUGGCUGGUGAAUUUUAGCCAUCUUGCUGUUGUGUUUUGGGGUUGAAACUGCUGCUGCUUUUUAGCCAUUUUGCUGCUUUACUUUGGGCCAUGAAGUGUUGCAUUUUAGCCAUUUUGCUGCUUGACUUAGGCUCAUGAACUGUUGUAUUUUAUCCACUUUGCUGUUGUACUUUUGGGCUAUGAAUCACUGCAUUUUUUAGCUGAAUUUCUGCUGCAUUUUGAGCUAAAUUUCUGCUACGUUCUGAGCUGAAUUGUUGCUGCAUUUUGACGCUGAAAACACUGCUUUUAGAGUAAAUUUGCUGCUGCAAAUUUUCAGCAAGUGUUUGCUAUACUUGGCUAGGCAAAUUCUCUAUUUUGGUACCUAUUUGAGGAGAGGUUACUGCUUGUGGUUGCUCUACAGUUUUGCCAUUACAUUAUGAUGCCUCACUUGGGGAGAAUUGUUGCAUUCUUUAAAGGGUGUACCUAGAUGCAACACUUGGAUGAAUUGUUUGUUGUAUUCUUGGCCCACUGUGAUUGCUCUUCUAAUGCAUUGUUGCAUUUUGAGACCAUUAUGCUGCUGCUACCUUUGCGAUUAAGCUACUGCCUGUUGAAAUGAACAUCUGCUAUACUUGAUAGAAGAACACUGAAUUUGAACACGAUACUACACUUGAGCCGAUGAGAACAUUUAAUUUGAGGUCAUGCCUUGUCCGAAAAGGUUAUCCCUUGGUUUGGGCAAAUAGGAUGCUUAUAAAUAAGAUCAAAAGGUAGAAAUAGAAGAGCGUAUGGAUGUGAACUAGUAUUCGCAACUGCGACUUGACUUGGUUUCUAGCCAAAAUUCGGAAGCAUAAAUCUCAGCCUCUGUGAUCAAAGCUCUCAGAGUUUGAUACGAGCCCGAGGGAUAUUAUUUUUGUGUUCAUAAAUGUCACCCUAUGGGGUGGCGUAUCAUUUUGACUAACUAAUUUUCUCUUCAUUUUGCGAGGUACAAAUAAAGCGAAUCUGGGGACGAAGAACUGCAAAAAGCAUAGAAGAACUAGAAGAGCAUACGAUUGCUAAAGGAUUUGGGCCCAAGGCCGAAAAAGCUAAAUUCUAUUUCCAUUAUUUUGUGUGAACAUGUUUAUUUUAUAUGUCCCCAUUGAUUUUGUAUGAACAUGUUUUUUUGUAAAUACCUGUGUAUUAUUGAAACCCUUUAGAACCUAGUUAAAAUCCUGUAUAAAAUAAAAAUGGUUUGAGCUGGAAUCAAAAACAGUUUUU